CCUACGGGGGGCAGCAGUGGGGAAUAUUGCACAAUGGGGGAAACCCUGAUGCAGCGACGCCGCGUGAGUGAAGAAGUAAUUCGGUAUGUAAAGCUCUAUCAGCAGGGAAGAAAAUGACGGUACCUGAGGAAGAAGCCCCGGCUAACUACGUGCCAGCAGCCGCGGUAAUACGUAGGGGGCAAGCGUUAUCCGGAUUUACUGGGUGUAAAGGGAGCGUUGACGGCAGUGCAGGUCUGGAGUGAAAGGCGGGGGCUCAACCCCCGGACUGCUCUGGAAACUGUACGGCGGGAGUGCAGGAGAGGUAAGUGGAAUGCGUGGUGUAGCGGUGAAAUGCGUAGAUAUCAGGAGGGAAACCAGUGGCGAAGGCGGCUUACUGGACUGUAACUGACGUUGAGGCUCGAAAGCGUGGG
rnacentral:rRNA from 1 species